rnacentral:lncRNA from 1 species
GUUAAAUAUCUGACUCAAGACUGGCUUUCCUGAUAUGAAUAGCUCUUCCAAGACGUAAGAGAAUAGCCACCUUGGUUUUGAUAACUCUGUGACUCUCUCUACCUGACCUCCUGCCUUAACAAUUUUAGGAGAUAAAUACCAGAAAAAGUGAUGGGAUUUUUAUCAGCUCCACAAUUCUCUACAGCUUACAGUCAGAUUUAACGCUUUUCUCCAUGACAAAUAUGAUAUGUCUUUAUCACUAGCAGAAAACAAUACAUCCCUAAGCUACAUGAAUGUCAUUUAAUGAAUAUAAGAACUGAGUAGGAAACAAAUCCCUCAGGGAAAACGAUCAGUAAACUCUUAGAUCCCUAACACCCCAAAUUCUCCAGGGCAGGCAAGAGAGGCAGGAGGUUCUUUGGGGAGAAGUGCAGAACAUACAAGCAAUCUGAGAUUAGACAGAGUAGAUGGUCUUGUUCAGAGUGUCGCUUAUUUUGCAGGAAACGAAUAGAGUUUCACGAAAGAAAACUAUCUAGAUAGGAGAGAGGGAAAGAUAGGGUGUUUCAGUUCAGUGGGCUGCUUUCUUCCACCCAGUAAUUCAGAGAGCUGAUUUGUUCCAUUUAUGGCUCCCCCAGUGCCUCAGCUCUAGUAGACCCUUGUUUUCUGGUGGAAGAAAAGGGAAAAGCAGAAUGGAGGAAACUCACCAGCUUCCUGACAGCCUUUGCCUGAAAGUGACAAAUACCACGUUUGCUCAUGAUCUAUGGGCAAUAAAAACCUGUCUUCUACCUUGAAAAGCCUGCCCAUUGAGUGCCUUGAAAUGAGUGUGAUUGGAUGUCACCGUUUAGCCUGCCUUAAGGUGAGAGUAACAGAAAACACCUUGUACAUCGGAUUUCAGCUUUAAAGAAGGUAACAAAAGGAAUCGGAAAACAUUUCUCCUUGAAGCGGUUACCUUAUUUCCCUACACAAAAGUUAGCUACUGUCUGUGCCAGCUGUUCCUCACAUGACCAAGUGAGCCUUGGGAACAUGGGAGUCCUGGAGAGAGAAGAGGCCUGCCCUAGGCAGAGUCGUGGAGGCUCUGUGGGCAACACCAGCACCCCUACUGACACUGUAUCAAC